GACGAACGCUGGCGGCGUGCUUAACACAUGCAAGUCGAACGGAAAGGCCCUGCUUUUGUGGUGUUCUCGAGUGGCGAACGGGUGAGUAACACGUGAGUAACCUGCCCUUGACUUUGGGAUAACUUCAGGAAACUGGGGCUAAUACCGUAUAGGAGCUCCUGCUGCAUGGUGGGGGUUGGAAAGUUUCGGCGGUCGGGGAUGGACUCGCGGGUUAUCAGCUUGUUGGUGGGGUAGUGGCUUACCAAGGCUGUGACGGGUAGCCGGCCUGAGAGGGUGACCGGGCACAUGGGGACUGCGAUACGGACCAGUCUCCUACGGGAGGCAGCAGUGGGGAAUAUUGCACAAUGGGCGGGAGCCUGAUGCAGCAGCGCUGCGUGCGGGAUGACGGCCUUCGGGGUGUAAACCGCUUUCGCCUGUUACGAAGCGGGAGUGACGGUAAUGGGUAAAGAAGCACCGGCUAACUACGUG
rnacentral:rRNA from 1 species